rnacentral:rRNA from 1 species
UACGUAGGGUGCGAGCGUUAAUCGGAAUUACUGGGCGUAAAGCGUGCGCAGGCGGCUUUGUAAGCCAGAUGUGAAAUCCCGGGGCUCAACCUCGGAACUGCCUUUGAUACUGCAAAUCUCGAGUCCGGAAGAGGUGAGUGGAAUUCCUAGUGUAGAGGUGAAAUUCGUAGAUAUUAGGAAGAACACCAGUGGCGAAGGCGGCUCACUGGUCCGGUACUGACGCUGAGGUGCGAAAGCGUGGGGGGCAAACAGG